UCAAACUACAAAUUAUGCCCCGCGGGUAAGAGUUGACUUUACCACGUUAUGUUUUAAUUUAUAAGAUGUUCUACAACUAUUGCCUUAGAGGCAAGACUUAGCUCAAGAACUUUCAAACAACAAAUUACGCCUCAUGGGCAAGAGUUGACUCUACCACUUUAUGUUUUCAUGCCCUUAAAUUUGCUUUGAUGUCAAAAAAAGAAGAUCCCUUUGCGGAUUAUCCAAUUUUUUAUUUAUUAGUAAAAUAAAAUAGAAGUUGAGAAAAAAGAAAAAAGCGAUCAAACAAAAUAGAGAAACAAAAAAACAAUUGAGAAAAAAAAGCAAGAAAAAAAUAAAGAUUAAGAAAAAAGCCAAGAAUUAAAAAAAUUGAGAAAAAUAAAAAUAAGAGAAAAAAUAAAAAUAAAUUUUGAGAAAAAUGAGGGA
rnacentral:lncRNA from 1 species